GGAAACGUGCCCGAGAGGCCGAAGGGGCUCCCCUGCUAAGGGAGUAUGCGGUCAAAAGCUGCAUCGAGGGUUCGAAUCCCUCCGUUUCCGCCA
rnacentral:tRNA from 1 species